GAAGGGAUACCUUUGUACGACGACGACACUUCGCAUCAGGCAUCCGUCUGGACACCGCAAAGGCGGACGCCCAUCCGUGGAGAACGCGGCGACACCCCCGUCGGCCGUCGCCAUGGCGACCGACCACCGCGUCUCGCUCCUCCCCUUCGCCGCCGCCCUCCUUGUGCUGCUCCUCGCUGGCGGCGCCGCGGCGGACGACGCCUCCAGCAGCGACGACGCGGGGACUUCGCGGACGCCCGGCUGCUCCAACAAGUUCCAGCUGGUUAAGGUGAAGAAUUGGGUGAAUGGGACUGAAGGUACAACUGUUGUUGGCCUAAGUGCAAAAUUUGGAGCUCCCUUGCCAAGAGAUAUCCAUGAAGCAAAAAAAUCAUUUGCUGUCCUCGCAAAUCCAAUUGACUGUUGCUCCAACUUGACAUCAAAGUUAACAAGUUCAGUUGCUCUAGCAACACGUGGGGAAUGUGCUUUCACAGAAAAAGCAAAUACUGCUCAGGCUGGUGGUGCGACUGGUUUAUUAGUUAUCAAUGAUAAUGAAGAGCUUUACAAGAUGGUUUGCGGUGAGAAUGACACUUCUAUUAACGUGACAAUACCUGUUGUCAUGAUACCACAGUCAGCAGGAAAGAUGUUGAAGAACUUCUUGCAUCAUGGAGCAAGUGUGGAAGUACAGCUAUAUUCACCAAAUCGACCAACUGUGGACCUUUCAGCAUGCUUCUUAUGGAUAAUGGCUGUAGGCACCAUAGUCUGUGCUUCACUCUGGACUGAAUUUGUUACAUGUGAGCAGGUUGAUGAGCGUUAUAAUCAGCUGACCAGAAAGGAUGGACCUGAUACGGGAACAAACUACAGAGAAGAUAAAGAGAUCUUCGAGAUCAGCGCCAAGGGUGCUAUUGUUUUUAUUAUAGUAGCUUCAGUUUUCCUCCUCCUUUUGUUCUACUUCAUGUCAUCUUGGUUUGUUUGGGUGCUAAUUGUACUAUUCUGCAUUGGUGGUAUUGAGGGUAUGCAUGUUUGCUUGGUUACGCUUCUAGCUAGGAUUUUUAAUGACUGUGGACGAAAGACUGUACAACUCCCUUUUUUGGGAGAGAUCUUGAUCUUAUCUGUUGGAAUUGUACCAUUUUGUGUGGUGUUUGCAAUUCUCUGGGCUGUGUAUCGCCAUGCUUCAUUUGCUUGGAUAGGCCAAGAUGUUCUUGGUAUCUGCUUGAUGAUAACUGUGCUUCAGAUGGCACGCUUACCAAAUAUCAAGGUUGCAUCAGCACUUCUUAGUGCCGCAUUUGUGUAUGACGUCUUUUGGGUGUUCAUUUCACCUCUUAUAUUCAAUGAAAGCGUCAUGAUUGCAGUUGCUCGAGGUGAUAACACUGGGGAAUCAAUUCCUAUGCUCCUAAGGAUACCCCGCUUCUUCGAUCCAUGGGGUGGCUAUGAUAUGAUAGGCUUUGGUGACAUUAUCUUCCCUGGAUUGCUUGUUGCAUUCAGCUAUAGUUUUAGGAAAUGUGGGGAAUACUACUCUAAUGAGUUGUCAUUAUGCGUGUGACAUGGAUUAGUGAGUUUUGGACUUUUGCCUUAAGUGUAGUAAUUGUUCACCAAACUUGUAAUGUCUACCUUUAUUUAUUUUCUUUUUGGCAUUUGUAGUUAUUUCCAUCAUUAACAUUCCUUUGAUAUAUGCUGAACAGAUUUGACAGAGCAACCAGAAAGGGUGUCUUGAAUGGAUAUUUUCUGUGGCUAAUUGUGGGAUAUGCAGUUGGCCUUUUCAUAACAUAUCUUGCGCUGUUCCUGAUGGACGGGCAGGGUCAACCUGCAUUGUUGUACCUUGUGCCAUGUACAUUGGGGGUUAUUGUUAUUCUUGGUUGGUUAAGAGGCGAGCUUCAUGAAUUAUGGAACUAUGGAAAAAGUCGAGCAGAAAAUUUGGUUAACGAACCAUGACAAUAAAAUCCAGGGAAGAUUGGUAUGUGAACACAUGCAGCAUCCAUUGAAGUAAUUAAAUCGAUGGGUUGACGAACGCAAUUGCCUGGGCCAAAUGGUUUAUGAUGUAUUUUCUUUUCUUCGUCGUAGUAGAUAGUUUUAGGAUGUUUAUUAGGAGGCACGGUGUAUUGGAAGAUGUUAUUGUUCAUCACAUUGAUUCAAAAAGAAUGAUAUUAUGUGUUCGAGAAAAAGGAUGAUAUUCAUAUAAGAUGCAAUCAUGUACUGUACAAGC